rnacentral:rRNA from 1 species
ACGCACGCUGGCGGCGUGCUUCACACCUGCAAGUCGCACGGAAAGGCCCUGCUUUUGUGGGGUGCUCGAGUGGCGAACGGGUGAGUAACACGUGAGUAACCUGCCCUUGACUUUGGGAUAACUUCAGGAAACUGGGGCUAAUACCGGAUAGGAGCUCCUGCUGCAUGGUGGGGGUUGGAAAGUUUCGGCGGUUGGGGAUGGACUCGCGGCUUAUCAGCUUGUUGGUGGGGUAGUGGCUUACCAAGGCUUUGACGGGUAGCCGGCCUGAGAGGGUGACCGGCCACAUUGGGACUGAGAUACGGCCCAGACUCCUACGGGAGGCAGCAGUGGGGAAUAUCGCACAAUGGGCGGAAGCCUGAUGCAGCAACGCCGCGUGCGGGAUGACGGCCUUCGGGUUGUAAACCGCUUUCGCCUGUGACGAAGCGUGAGUGACGGUAAUGGGUAAAGAAGCACCGGCUAACUACGUG